GAUGAACGCUGGCGGCGUGCCUAAUACAUGCAAGUCGAGCGAACGGACGAGAAGCUUGCUUCUCUGAUGUUAGCGGCGGACGGGUGAGUAACACGUGGAUAACCUACCUAUAAGACUGGGAUAACUUCGGGAAACCGGAGCUAAUACCGGAUGAUAUUUUGAACCGCAUGGUUCAAAAGUGAAAGACGGUCUUGCUGUCACUUAUAGAUGGAUCCGCGCUGCAUUAGCUAGUUGGUAAGGUAACGGCUUACCAAGGCAACGAUGCAUAGCCGACCUGAGAGGGUGAUCGGCCACACUGGCACUGAGACACGGUCCAGACUCCUACGGGAGGCAGCAGUAGGGAAUCUUCCGCAAUGGGCGAAAGCCUGACGGAGCAACGCCGCGUGAGUGAUGAAGGUCUUCGGAUCGUAAAACUCUGUUAUUAGGGAAGAACAUAUGUGUAAGUAACUGUGCACAUCUUGACGGUACCUAAUCAGAAAGCCACGGCUAACUACGUG
rnacentral:rRNA from 1 species